rnacentral:rRNA from 1 species
UACGAAGGGGGCUAGCGUUGCUCGGAAUCACUGGGCGUAAAGCGCACGUAGGCGGCUUUUUAAGUCAGGGGUGAAAUCCUGGAGCUCAACUCCAGAACUGCCUUUGAUACUGAGAAGCUUGAGUCCGGGAGAGGUGAGUGGAACUGCGAGUGUAGAGGUGAAAUUCGUAGAUAUUCGCAAGAACACCAGUGGCGAAGGCGGUUCACUGGCCCGGUACUGACGCUGAGGUGCGAAAGCGUGGGGAGCAAACAGG